ensembl:lncRNA
UUCAGGAUGCAGCGGAAGAAACACCCUCCAACCACACCUUCCUCCUGCAUCAUCACCUAUAAGCCAUAGCGCUGAUGUCUCCUGAUUUAAAACCUUCCCUCAAGCUUCACAGACACAGAGAAGCAGAAUCUGCCAACAAAGAAGUUUCCUGCUGCGCAACACUUGACUUUUACAGCUCAGAAUGGAAGGUGUCUUCAUCCUGCUGGUGGCGGCGCUGGUCGUUUGUGUCCAAGGAACGUCUCAUUUGUCCUUUUCCAACAACACUGAGGUGAACAUCACACUCGACGGCUGCGGAGCCACUAAAUUGUGCCUGUCGACCCCAGACAGCUGCGACCCCGCCGGGCAGAGCGCCUGUCUGUUCGCGUCCGCGGCCGUCGUGACCACCAGCCCCCCGGUGGCCGACAGCGUUGAGCUGGCCGUCGAACUCCGAGGAGACUCCGGAGGGUACAUCGCACUGGGCCUCAUUUCGAGUACCUCGCCGGGAACCACCAUGCAGUUUGUUUGCGCUGCAAACACAACAAACAACGGGGCGAUCUUCUUCAGGACGUUGCAGAGGAACAACACCGACGAAGCGCUCAUUCCCACGGAGACGAGGGUGAAAGAAAUCCGCGGCACGGUGGCUGGAACUGUGAUCAAGUGCGAGUUCAACAUAGAGUCCCUGAACGCCACCAACAUCUUCAACGUCCUUGUGUAACCGUCCACUUCCUGUUCAGCUGCUGUCGGCCCCUUCAAUAUCGACCUGGACGCCGGCGCUGUGAUCCUGACCACCACUAUGACCGACACCACUGUGACCGGCACCACUGUGACCAACACCACUGUGACCGGCACCACUGUGACCAACACCACUGUGACCGACACCACUGUGACCAACACCACUGUGACCAACACCACUGUGACCGGCACCACUGUGACCGGCACCACUGUGACCAACACCACUGUGACCGGCACCACUGUGACCAACACCACUGUGACCGGCAGCGGUGGAGCUGUCCGGCCUCAUGGUAAACGACACUCCGCCGUCAUGUGUGUGGAUCUGAAUGAUGAUCUUCGCCCGAUAAUGGAAGUUUUGUCAAGGAAAUUGAUGUAUGAUCAAAAGCUCCAAUAUCAUGAGUUAUGUUUAUUGACUCUAAAUGCAGUUUAUAAAUAACAUUUUAAGUAAUAUAUUGAUAUGCAUGCAGCUUGUCUACCGUGGUUAUAAUUACAAAAACACACUUUUACUCGUACCUCUAUUGUAGCCUCGCCAGGUUCUUUGUGUGUUUGGCCUCCACCCAAAAGCAAUGGAGAUGAAUAAAGUCAUCUGUGGUGCUCAAAAUGUGUCCAGAAAUGUAUCAUAUACGGAGUGACCAAAGAGCUCUUCCACUUCAGAGGUGACUAAUAAAUAAAUGACGGUAUGUUUAGUGAACCAGGGACAUGGUUUAUGGAAAGAUGAAGCUGAGCUUUAUUAGUCUAGUUUUUCAACUUCCAUUUGAGGUGUAAAUCUCAGAUUAGAUGUCUCACCACAGUUAAUGCAACCAAAAUAAAACCUAUUUGUGACUGCAGUGAGAAUGGAACAUUAACCCUUUGUGUUCCCUCUCCAGCUGUGCUGCUCCUGCUGAGCGUCCUCACACUGUCGGUCAUGCUGAGAGCCUGAGAGGACGAAUAACAUGACGACGGUGUCAAGCUAUGUAUAAAAUGUUCUUACUGCACUUUAUUAGACAUGUUUUAACCUUUUAACUUGGUUUAUACUUUAAGAUGAAACUCACUUGUUUUAGUGACUAUAUAAUUACUUUUGUUACAUAACAUUCCAAUUCUCUCUCUACCCUCACUUCCUGUCCACUCUCAAUUAAAUAUAUAAAAUGUAAAAACAAAAACUUGGAUCCAUUUAACAAAUCAAAUUCAUUAAAACACCUUUCCAUUCAGUGAUCGCAGGCCUUGGAGUGGGUGGCUUUCUGGCAGAACACUUUGCACAGUUGCUUUCGAUGUCGAAAAACCAAUUUUGAAAAUAAUUGAAAUUUAACAUCGUUACUCGUACAAUAUCACAAUAUAAAUAAAUGUGAAGAAAAGCUGUCGCAGUAGUUUCAGUGCCAUGUUUCAAUGUUCCUGCACCACCUCUUUUCUUCUUCUUUUUUGUCCCAAAGGACAUGUAAGGUCUUCCAUGACAUGCUGUGGCAGGUCCUCCUCAUUUUAAAGUACUUACUGUGUGAGAAUCGUUUGUCAAGUUAUAAUUACAUUUCAAGCUCACAUGACCACAUUAAGUAGCCGCCAUGAUAAGAGCUGUUCAAAUUCUCUAUAUGCUAAUGAAAGGAGCUUCAAUGCUUCCUUCUUUAGCUCCUUUAGUAGUAGUAUUUACUAGUAUCAGUACAGUGAGGAUUACUGUCUACUAGUAUAAGUACAGUGCACUAAUACUAGUUGUAUGAAGUGUGUGAUAUCCGCCUACCUCGUAUAAAAGCAAUAUUUUACAUUAAACAUUCCAUAUUUAUUCCAGUGCC